UAGGGAAUCUUCCACAAUGGACGCAAGUCUGAUGGAGCAACGCCGCGUGAGUGAAGAAGGUCUUCGGAUCGUAAAGCUCUGUUGUUGGUGAAGAAGGAUAGAGGCAGUAACUGGUCUUUAUUUGACGGUAAUCAACCAGAAAGUCACGGCUAACUACGUGCCAGCAGCCGCGGUAAUACGUAGGUGGCAAGCGUUGUCCGGAUUUAUUGGGCGUAAAGCGAGCGCAGGCGGAAUGAUAAGUCUGAUGUGAAAGCCCACGGCUCAACCGUGGAACUGCAUCGGAAACUGUCAUUCUUGAGUGCAGAAGAGGAGAGUGGAACUCCAUGUGUAGCGGUGGAAUGCGUAGAUAUAUGGAAGAACACCAGUGGCGAAGGCGGCUCUCUGGUCUGCAACUGACGCUGAGGCUCGAAAGCAUGGGUAGCGAACAGGAUUAGAUACCCUGGUAGUCCAUGCCGUAAACGAUGAGCGCUAGGUG
rnacentral:rRNA from 1 species